UAAGUUCAAAUUUCAAUCAAGAGACGAAGCUUUUCAGGGUUUUAGGGUUUUGUGUCAAUCUGAUUAGUAAAUUAACGGUGUGAGUUGAAGAAGGUUAUGGCAUCGUCAGAUGAUGAGAUUGAUUUUGAAGACGAGUUUGAUUCUGUUUGUGCUCUUUGUGAUGAUGGUGGCAUGCUUUUGUGUUGUGAAGGAAGAUGCCUAAGGGCCUUUCAUGCGACUAGAGAGCAUGGUAAGGAAACUAUGUGUGAAUCUCUCGGCUUUACCCAGGCUGAACUAGAUGUUUCGAACUUGGUAGGCGAUGCAAUUUUUCUUCUGCAAGAACUGUGAAGAUAGACAGCAUCAGUGCUUCGCUUGCGGGAAGCUAGGAUCCUCGGAUAGAUCUUCAGGUGCUGAGGUCUUCGCCUGUAUUUCUGUAGCCUGUGGUAAAUUUUACCAUCCACAUUGUGUUGCACAACUCAUUGAUCAAGACAAUGGAGUUACUGCUGAGGAGCUUGAGAAAAAAAUUUCUAAAGCGGAACCCUUUACAUGUCCAAUUCAUAAAUGCUGCGUUUGUAAACAAGGAGAGAAUAAGAAAGAUCCCGAGAUGCGUUUUGCAGCGUCUAGUCGUUUUCCAAAAUCCUACCAUAGGAAAUGCCUGCCAUGGCACUCUUAAUUGUAUUUUUUGUUUUGUUUGAGUAUCUGACAAAGGCACAUGGAAAGACUUUUAGUUGUAUCUGUAGAACUAGUUGUUUUCUCGUAGUUUCAUUUGAAUUGAAAAGGUUUUUUCCAAA